rnacentral:rRNA from 1 species
GCGAGAAAACUUUGCAAUGUGCGAAAGCACGACAAGGUUAAUCCGAGUGGUUUCUGCUAAAGAAACCUUUUGUCAGUCCUAGAAACACUAACGAAUAAGGGGUGGGCAAGUUCUGGUGUCAGCCGCCGCGGUAAAACCAGCACCUCAAGUGGUCAGGAUGAUUAUUGGGCCUAAAGCAUCCGUAGCUCGUUUUGUAAGUUUUCGGUUAAAUCCAUACGCUUAACGUAUGGGCUGCCGGGAAUACUGCAUAACUAGGAAGUGGGAGAGGUAGACGGUACUCGGUAGGAAGGGGUAAAAUCCUUUGAUCUAUUGAUGACCACCUGUGGCGAAGGCGGUCUACCAGAACACGUUCGACGGUGAGGGAUGAAAGCUGGGGGAGCAAACCGGAUUAGAUACCCUCGUAGUCCCUGAGCGGGCUGGCAAGGCGCAU